AGCGAAAGAGAAGGAGGCGGCAGGAAGAACGAAGCACAUCAUCAUACACCCUGCUGUACAUAAGAUUUCUAUAAACAAAGGGCCACAGAAUCAUGAAGAUGUUGGAUUACAAGAUAAUGAAGAUGUUGGCAAAAGUCUAUCCACUUACCACCUUUUCCAUCCAAUACCACUACCACCAAAGAAUGAAGAUGUUUAUGAAAAUCAACCAGAAGAUGUCCUUUUUCAUCCAGUACCAGGACGAAUGUUUAAUGAAGAUUUUGACAAAAGUCCAGUAAAAGAUCUCUUUUUCCAACCAGUACCAAUUUCAGACAAUGAAGAGUUUGAGAAGCGCAUACAACUUGUCCCCAAAGAAGAAGAAAGACCCCGACCCCGGGAACAAAUACUGUUGGCUGUAUCCUCAGCAACUCUGUGUGUUUUAAUAUUGCUUACAAUGCUUUGUGGUAUGACUGUAUACCAAUGUAGCAAAAGAAUUAGUUUCACAGAGCUCUCAUUUACUGCUUCUGAACAUCGAGCACUAUUUGGGCCAUCCUUUUUCCAUCCCUAUCCUUCCGAAACUACAGUCUCUAGAACUGAGAGCUUGAUAUGGAACGAGUCCGGACCAAGACCAGUAGGACGGAGCCCCUCGGUGGCUAAACCCUCAAGGGUGCUAACAUUUGAUCCUGUUGUACACUCAGUAGAUGAGGUGUCAACAUUUUCUGAUGAAUCAGCCCGCACUCUAGAGACAAUCAGGCCUAGAGAGACAGAACUAACUGAAGUAGUGGCACCCUCUCAAGCCCCAUCAACUGAAGCACCACCUCCA